CUGGUAUUAAGUUAUUUUGGGGUUAGAAUCAACAGCUCUCUAGCAUUCUUUGGGUCUGAAAACUGGCAGCAGCUGGUGAGACAGAAAGUCUCUUGGUAGAAUGGAAGACUUCACUGAAAUUAAAUUUUUGGACACUGGACCCAUCUAUUUUUUUUGAUCAGAUAAAACCAAAAAGGAAAAUAUGGGGAAAGAGAAAAUGUGAAGACCACUUACCCCUUUUGGAAUGCACUGAAGGAGCUAACAAUAAAUUACAGUUGGCACGAUCUUACUGCAGAUGCUUAUAAGUAUGCAACCAAAAAUCCUAUGUUGAAGAAAUGUAGUGCCUUACAAGAUGAUACUAGAAUCAUGACUGUGAUCGACUUAAAGGGAUACAAAAUCAACAGCUGUUCAAGAGAAGACUAUCAUAAGAAGAACUGCCUAGUUAAAGCAAAAGAAGACCAUCGUGUUGCAGCAAGUAAACCUAUGGAAAAAACAUGUUCGUGGAAGGGUUGUGUGCCUAACAGAGAGAUCAGUCCUGCUGCCUUCUUCCUUCACUUCUGAG